rnacentral:rRNA from 1 species
UACGAAGGGUGCAAACGUUGCUCGGAAUCAUUGGGCGUAAAGCGCACGUAGGCGGCCUUGCAAGUCGGAUGUGAAAUCCCACGGCUCAACCGUGGACGUGCAUCCGAAACUGCUCGGCUCGAGUAUGGAAGAGGGUCGCGGAAUUCCCGGUGUAGAGGUCGAAAUUCGUAGAUAUCGGGAGGAACACCGGUGGCGAAGGCGGGUCUCUGGGCCGAUACUGACGCUGAGGCGCGAAAGCGUGGGGAGC